CCAAAAUGGCCCCAAAUGGCCCCCAAAUGACCCCAAAAGGCCCCCAAUGACCCCAAAAGGACCCCCAAUGACCCCAAAAUGCCCGCAGUGACCCCAAAGGGCCCGCAAUGACCCCAAAGGGCCCGCAUGACCCCAAAGGGCCCGCAGUGACCCCAAAAGGCCCCAAUGACCCCAAAAGGCCCCCAAUGACCCCAAAGGGCCCGCAAUGACCCCAAAAGGCCGCCAAUGACCCCAAAGGGCCCGCAGUGACCCCAAAGGGGCCGCAGUGACCCCAAAAGGCCGCCAAUGACCCCAAAGGGCCCGCAGUGACCCCAAAGGGGCCGCAGUGACCCCAAAAGGCCCCAAUGACCCCAAAAGGCCCCAAUGACCCCAAAAGGCCCCCAGUGACCCCAAAGGGCCCGCAGUGACCCCAAAAGGCCCCCAAUGACCCCAAAAGGCCCCCAAUGACCCCAAAAGGCCCCAAUGACCCCAAAAGGCCCCCCCA
rnacentral:lncRNA from 1 species